rnacentral:SRP_RNA from 1 species
GCUGGGUGUGGUGGCGGGCACCUGUAAUCCCAGCUACUCAGGAGGCUGAGGCAGGAGAAUUACUUGAACCCGGGAGGCGGAGGUUGCAGUGAGCCGAGAUUGCACCACUGCACUUCAGCCUGGGUGACAGAGUGAGACUCCGUCUCAA